GGGUGUUUGAUCUAGUGGUAUGAUUCUCGCUUUGUGUGUAAGAGGUCCCAUGAGUUUAAUUCUCAUAACACCCC
rnacentral:tRNA from 1 species